GAUUCCUAUACUUUUUUGUAGCAAAAUGUACAAUAACGGAUCAACUCGCAAGGAAAGUUCAACACCGACAUAAUGGAUAAAAGUGAGAUAAUUUGAAGGGCAUUUGGCAGCAAGACUGGCCCUUGGCAUUUGACAAAAAUGCCAAGAAGAAUGAACUGGAAAACAAACCUUAGGAGAUUAUAUCCAUGGUGAUGAUUUUGGCUACUCCUCCAUACCGUAUUGUUAUUGCAGUUGUGAUUUAAAACUUUGCAUUUUAACUGACACAUACUAUUGUUUUGUGGGGGUUAGUAAUGGUUUUGGUGAUGAGUUAGUUAUGUGAUACAUGCAGGAAUUUAGUGAGUGGUGGGAAGUGGAUCACUAUUUGAGUGCAAGUGGUUACCUUGGAGACAAUAUUCACCCUUUUUGUGGCUCUGUCUAAGGAUAAGUGUAACAUUUCAAAUGAAGAGUUCCGCAGGUAUAUCUCUAACGUGGAAUAUGAGGUUAUGCAUCAUCUUUGUGGCGGUUUCAAAGGAGGUUUUGAUGAAAAAAAGUUCAAUAGUAUGCCUUGAUUAAAGGGUGCCUUGAUUGAAGAUGCAGCGGGGAAAAUCAACAGCAAAAUAGCAGUCACAAAGUGGUAUUAGGUUUUAACUUGGUAUCAGUUUUUGUACGGGUUCAUUUGAGAGGGGCUGCAUUUGAG